GAUGGUUCACUUGUGUUUAUUGCUUAUGUGUUUCAUAUUGGGUGGUCUGUUUGAUAUUGAUUGUUGAUUGUUUGUCUGAGUAUUGUACUGAUUGGUUUAGCUGUUUCCACAGGUACCUAAGUUGCUUUAAGUUCAUUUGAACUUUGUUUUGCUUGCUUGUGGUUGGCAUACCACUGAGGUAUAAUUCCUUGAUCUUCAUGUAGUCUGGAAGAC
rnacentral:lncRNA from 1 species